UACGUAGGCAGCGAGCGUUGUUCGGAGUUACUGGGCUAAAGAGUGCGUGGGCGGUUUCUAAGUUUGGUGUGAAAUCUCCCGGCUCACUGGGGAGGGUCACGCGAUACUGAUCGACUCGAAGGCAGGAGAGGGAAGUGGAAUUCCCGGUGUAGUGGUGAAAUGCGUAGAUAGUCGGGAGGAACACCAGGUGGCGAAGGCGACUUCCUGGCCUGUUCUUGACGCUGAGGCGCGAAGCUAGGGAGCAACGGG
rnacentral:rRNA from 1 species